CACGGGAAACGGGGCUAAGACCGCAUAACGUCCGGAGCCCGCAGGGGAACCGGAUCAAAGCCUUCGGACGCUCAGGGAUGGGGCCGCGUCGGAAAAGCUCGUGGGUGAGGAAACAGCUCACCAAGGCAACAAUCCGUAGCUGGUCUGAGAGGAUGAUCAGCCACACUGGCACUGAGACACGGGCCAGACUCCUACGGGAGGCAGCAGUGGGGAAUCUUAGGCAAUGGGGGAAACCCUGACCUAGCCAUGCCGCGUGGAGGAAGACACCCCUACGGGGCGUAAACUCCUUUUCUGCCGGAAGAAAACCCUGUUUUGCAGGGCGUGACGGUACGGCAGGAAUAAGCACCGGCUAACUCCGUGCCAGCAGCCGCGGUAAUACGGAGGGUGCAAGCGUUGUCCGGAAUCACUGGGCGUAAAGGGUGUGUAGGUGGGGCGGUAAGUCAGGGGUGAAAGCCCACAGCUUAACUGUGGAAGUGCCCUUGAAACUGCCGUUCUUGAGUCCUGGAGAGGUUGCCGGAAUUCGUGGUGUAGCGGUGAAAUGCGUAGAUAUCACGAGGAACACCAGAGGCGUAAGCGGGCAACUGGACAGGUACUGACACUGAGGCACGAGAGCGUGGGGAGCAAACAGGAUUAGAUACCCUGGUAGUCCACGCCGUAAACGAUGAAUGCUCGCCGUUGUCCCAUUUAGGGGGCAGUGGCUAAGCUAACGCGUUAAGCAUUCCGCCUGGGGAGUACGACCGCAGGGUUAAAAUUCAAGGAAUUGACGGGGGCCCGCACAAGCGGGGGAGCUUGGGGUUAAUUUCGAGCCAACGCGAAGAACCUUACUAGGCUCGAACCUACCGGA
rnacentral:rRNA from 1 species